rnacentral:rRNA from 1 species
UUUUGGACAAUGGGGGCAACCCUGAUCCAGCAAUGCCGCGUGAGUGAAGAAGGCCUUCGGGUUGUAAAGCUCUUUUGUCAGGCAAGAAACACCGGCUCUAACACAGUCCGGGAAUGACGGUACCUGAAGAAUAAGCACCGGCUAACUACGUGCCAGCAGCCGCGGUAAUACGUAGGGUGCAAGCGUUAAUCGGAAUUGCUGGGCGUAAAGCGUGCGCAGGCGGUUAUACAAGACAGGCGUGAAAUCCCCGGGCUUAACCUGGGAAUGGCGCCUGUGACUGUAUAGCUAGAGUGUGUCAGAGGGGGGUAGAAUUCCACGUGUAGCAGUGAAAUGCGUAGAUAUGUGGAGGAAUACCAAUGGCGAAGGCAGCCCCCUGGGAUAGCACUGACGCUCAUGCACGAAA